rnacentral:lncRNA from 1 species
CCUUUUUGAAUAAUUAAAAUUUAGAGCUAAUUUGAGAAAUAAAAUGACCUUUCGAAUCAAAUGUGAGGGAGCCAUGCCACGAUUCUUGACAAAGAUCACCACCAUUUGAUUCCCAUCCCUCGAGAUGUGGUUGAGUAUUAAAAUACCUAUACAUUCCUUGUAAAACUCUAACUAUUAAUAUUACAUAAAAAGUAUUAGAUACGGUGCUUUGAUCAAGAUUAAUUCCUAGGUUGCUAAGUAGUUCUUGCAAUGUGGUAUUGUAGGGCAUGCAUUACAUAGAUACAUCAAACAAAUUUAAAGUAGAACAAAGAAAAGAUAUUGGAUAUUAGCUGAAUUAGAAAAAGGAAAUUAUUCAUGGAAAUUAGAUUAAGAAAUUAAUAACAAUAUAAUCGGUUUUGAUUAGUACCAUUUGCAGCUCAAUUCAAGUUUAAUGAUAUCCACUUUAACUGAACUCCUCUUAUGGUGCUUAAAGAGGCAUUCCCUGUAUUUUUAUUAGGAUAAACAUAAGCAAUCAAUUGUGAGAAGUAAAUCAUAUAUAACUAAUUGAUACAUCAAAAAGAUAAACAUAAAAAUGAAAUUAAAGUACUUGUGUGUAUGAGAAGUGGAAUUCAGUCACAGUUCAAGAACCAAAGUUCAUUCCACAUAUUCAUAAAGAAAAGCCACAAUCACAUACCAUUUAGGUUUCUUCAUAAUGAAGAGUUAAACGUAUAGCUUUUCAUCCUAUUACCGCUUCUGGUUCUAGCCAUCAUUCUUCUUGUUUCCUUAUCACCAAACCUUGUUUCAACAUAUUCACCUUACGAACCCUACAGGGGUAAAUAUGAGCAGUCACUAUUUAUCGAUGUUCCUAGGGGAAUAUCAGGUGUAAUUAAAGCAAUUAGAGAAUGUUUAACUAUAAAAAAUUCAAAAGAAGAUCGAAAACAGAAUAACCUCUACACAAGGGAAAAUAAUAAUUAAUGAAGCCACAAUCGUGAACCUCUUUUUGAGGUAUAUUAGAACUUUCUUCAUCAAAACUAAAAGGUACAGAAAAAAACGUAGCCGAUUAUAGUAUGAUGUAUAGGAAAAAAAAUCAUUAAAAUCAAACCCCAACCGUACCUCGACUCGACGGAUCUGCCUUCAUAACUUCGAGGUAACGUUGGAUGUCAGAUGGAACUCUAAGAUGAAGAGUAACGAUGGGGAGGCAAUUAUGGUGGUAGGUUUAGCAGAAGAUAGAGAAGCCAGGGUUUUGAUG